UUGCCCGUGACAAUUGCUAAGCCCCCUCCCAGCGAUUUUUCCCGCUCCAAAUGGUACGUGAAGUUCUGAAAAUACCCUUUCUGCCUCUUAAAACCUCGUAUGCCUUCAUUCCACUCUGUUCGUUGGAAACAAUUGAGAGUUUCCAACUUCAAUGCGAUAAAUCAGCUCUCAAAUUCCAGAGAUUGUUGAAGGUAAUCUUUUCCAAAAUUAUUUAUCAAUCUUUUUAUUUAUAUGAUUACAAUUCGAUACCCAUUCAUUUUAACCCUAAUUUUGUUAUCGGAAAUUGAGCAUAGCCGACAAUCAAUCUCUACCAUUAGCUCUGAGAUUACAAGCUCGGUAUGUUUUACUAUGAAACUUCAUUUUUUUUUCUGGAUUAUAGUAUUCUUAAAUAGUUUCGUUGGUCUCUCUGCGAAACACAUAUCUGGCUAUGGAAGAACGAAGAAUCAGAAAUUGAUGGUCAUCUUCUCCAACAACAACAGGGGCGGACCUAGGGGUGGUCCACGGUGUCACCGGCAACCCCUAAUUUUUCCGGCUGCAGUGGAAAAUUUUUCGAAAAUUUUAGAAAUUUUUAUUUUUUCUACUACCGUGCAACCCCCUAACUUUCUCGUGCAACCCCUACCGUAAAAUUCUGCGUCCGCCCUCUGUUUUCUUCAAAUAACAUUCCAAAGCUGGAUGUAUCUGCUUCUUAUAUUUGAUCUACAGACGUGAACUUAAUGAAUGCUAUGAAUGUAUUACGGAGCAAGGGUGGCCGUUGUUGCCAUAAAUUGGUGUACCUAGAGUAAAAAAUCAGGAUGAUUAAUGUGGUAAAAUGGGUCGUGGGUAUUUAGGAAAUAAAGGUUUUAUCAUUUUUUAAUUAGAUUAAAUGAUAUGAUAGAGAUUUUUUAGUAAUUGGUUUUUUAUAUUUGAAGUUUAUGUAAAUUUAUUUGUAUUCUAAGGUGUUGUUAAUAUAACUAGAUUAAAACCCGCAUUAAACGCGGGGAGCAUAUAAAAAAA